rnacentral:lncRNA from 10 species
CAGCCAGGUACUAUUCUAGAUUGUCUUGUGAUAUUUACAAUCUAGGAGAAGGCAGGAGAGAGAACUAAGAACAGAGAGCAUGUUCUGAGAUGUCUGCUGUGUUUGCAGAAACUCCUGGAGGGCAGAGCCAUGCCUGCCAUUUUCAUCAUUGCAUUACCACCACCCAGCACAGUGCCUGGUACAAAAGAGUUGCUCAAUAAAUAAAUCAGGAUGAAUGGACAAAUACACGGAUAGGCACUUUGAACUACAGAUGAGCUUAAAUACUUUGUGUUUUUCUUAGUCAAACAUGUGCAAUUAAGCAUGUGAUAAAUUAUAUGAUGACCACAC